GGCCCACGGCAAUUCUCUGGUGGUA
rnacentral:piRNA from 1 species